rnacentral:rRNA from 1 species
CCGUGCCCAAGAGAUCGGGAUAACACCUGGAAACAGAUGCUAAUACCGGAUAACAACAGAUGAUGCCUAUCAACUGCUUAAAAGAUGGUUCUGCUAUCACUCUUGGAUGGACCUGCGGUGCAUUAGCUAGUUGGUAGGGUAACGGCCUACCAAGGCGAUGAUGCAUAGCCGAGUUGAGAGACUGAUCGGCCACAUUGGGACUGAGACACGGCCCAAACUCCUACGGGAGGCAGCAGUG